rnacentral:rRNA from 1 species
AAAACAUUUCUUUUUGAUUAUAAUUAUAAGUAGACUCUGCCCUAUGAUAAAAAAUUAAAUGGCUGCAGUAUAUUGACUGUACAAAGGUAGCAUAAUCAAUUGUUCUUUAAUUGGGAUCUUGGAUGAAUGAGGUGAUGAAUUAAAUUCUUUAUUUAAAUUAUAAUAUGAAUUUAGAUUUAAAGUAAAAAUUCUUUAAUAAUUUUAUGGGACGAGAAGACCCUAUAGAAUUUUAUUUAUUAAUAAAAAAUAAUUAUUUAUUAAAAUUUUUUUAUUAUAAAUUUGUUUGGGAGGAAUAUUAAAUUUUUAAACUUUAAUAAGUUUUUAACAAAGUUAAUUGAAUUUGUUGAUUUUAGUUUUAAUUUUUAGAUUAAAUUACCUUAGGGAUAACAGCAUAAUA